rnacentral:tRNA from 1 species
GCCUGGAUAGCUCAGUUGGAUAGGGCAUGGUGCUGAUAUUGCCAAGGUUGCAGGUUUGAUUCCUGUAUGGGACA